rnacentral:rRNA from 1 species
GUGAAAUUGAACUCGCUGUGAAGAUGCAGUGUACCCGCGGCAAGACGGAAAGACCCCGUGAACCUUUACUAUAGCUUGACACUGAACAUUGAGCCUUGAUGUGUAGGAUAGGUGGGAGGCUUUGAAGUGUGGACGCCAGUCUGCAUGGAGCCGACCUUGAAAUACCACCCUUUAAUGUUUGAUGUUCUAACGUGGACCCGUAAUCCGGGUUGCGGACAGUGUCUGGUGGGUAGUUUGACUGGGGCGGUCUCCUCCUAAAGAGUAACGGAGGAGCACGAAGGUUGGCUAAUCCUGGUCGGACAUCAGGAGGUUAGUGCAAUGGCAUAAGCCAGCUUGACUGCGAGCGUGACGGCGCGAGCAGGUGCGAAAGCAGGUCAUAGUGAUCCGGUGGUUCUGAAUGGAAGGGCCAUCGCUCAACGGAUAAAAGGUACUCCGGGGAUAACAGGCUGAUACCGCCCAAGAGUUCAUAUCGACGGCGGUGUUUGGCACCUCGAUGUCGGCUCAUCACAUCCUGGGGCUGAAGUAGGUCCCAAGGGUAUGGCUGUUCGCCAUUUAAAGUGGUACGCGAGCUGGGUUUAGAACGUCGUGAGACAGUUCGGUCCCUAUCUGCCGUGGGCGCUGGAGAACUGAGGGGGGCUGCUCCUAGUACGAGAGGACCGGAGUGGACGCAUCACUGGUGUUCGGGUUGUCAUGCCAAUGGCACUGCCCGGUAGCUAAAUGCGGAAGAGAUAAGUGCUGAAAGCAUCUAAGCACGAAACUUGCCCCGAGAUGAGUUCUCCCUGAGACUUAG